GAUGAAGAACGCAGCGAAAUGCGAUAAGUAGUGUGAAUUGCAGAAGUACCGUGAAUCAUCGAAUCUUUGAACGCAAAUUGCACUCUCUGGUAUUCCGGGGAGUAUGCCUGUUUGAGGGUCGCUUAACAAACCAUCGAUUUCGUUGCUUUUUUUUUAAAAAGUGAUGUUUAUCGGAUUUGAGCCGUCUUUUUUUUUUAUAUUUAAGUGGCUUAAAAUUGAUUUUUUUGGUACGAUCGAAGCGUAUUUUUAUGAUCUAUUUUUGGUUAAAGAAACGCACACGUACCGUUAUUUAUAUGAUGUAAUACGUUUGACUAUUGGAUUUAGUUCAUUCGUAUACGAUAUUUUUCAAUAUUUGACCUCAAAUCAGGUAAGAACACCCGCUGAACUUAAGCAUAUCAAAAGCGGAGGA
rnacentral:misc_RNA from 1 species